UAUGUAAAUAUAUAAUUUGAUUUAAAUGUAACCAUAAUUGACGACAAUUAAAUUGUCGUGUAUGUGUGUACACCAGGAGUCUGGGGCAUUUCAAGUCUACUGUGCGCAAUAAAGCGGCUCCUGAGGGGUGCAUUGCGGAGGGGUACAUAGCGACCGAGCUGGUAACGUUCUGUUCAAGGUAUCUGAAUAACGCACCAACAUUCCACAACAGACCUCAGAGGAAUCUUGAUGGAUCCAAGGGGGCGGGCACGCGUGUUACCCUGAACCGGUUGAUAAUGCACCAGAUUCAUCGUUAUAUUGUGUUCAACUCUGAAGAGUUUCACAAUUUGCGGACGAUGCACAAAGACGCGCUUAGGCGAUCAUGCACUAGAGGUCGCAUUACGGAGGCUCUUAUUGAAGCAGAACAUCAUGAGCAGUUCUGCGAAUGGUACCCUGCAUAUGUCGAUGGCCUUGACGAUCAACGUAGGGAGGAAUUGGGUCAC